rnacentral:rRNA from 1 species
GAUGAACGCUAGCGGCAGGCCUAACACAUGCAAGUCGAGGGAGAGGUUACCUUCGGGUAACCAAGACCGGCGCACGGGUGCGUAACGCGUAUACAAUCUGCCUUUCACAUAGGGAUAGCCCGAAGAAAUUUGGAUUAAUACCUAAUGGUAUAUAGGAGCGGCAUCGUUUUUAUAUUAAAGCUACGGUGGUGAAAGAUGAGUAUGCGUUCUAUUAGCUAGUUGGAGAGGUAACGGCUCCCCAAGGCGACGAUAGAUAGGGGUUCUGAGAGGGAUGUCCCCCACACUGGUACUGAGAUACGGACCAGACUCCUACGGGAGGCAGCAGUGAGGAAUAUUGGACAAUGGUCGGAAGACUGAUCCAGCCAUGCCGCGUGCAGGAUGAAGGUCCUAUGGAUUGUAAACUGCUUUUGUAAGGGAAGAAUAAGGAGUACGUGUACUUUGAUGACGGUACCUUACGAAUAAGCAUCGGCUAACUCCGUGCCAGCAGCCGCGGUAAUACGGAGGAUGCGAGCGUUAUCCGGAUUUAUUGGGCGUAAAGCGAGCGCAGGCGGUUAGAAAAGUCUGAAGUGAAAGGCAGUGGCUCAACCAUUGUAGGCUUUGGAAACUGUUUAACUUGAGUGCAGAAGGGGAGAGUGGAAUUCCAUGUGUAGCGGUGAAAUGCGUAGAUAUAUGGAGGAACACCGGUGGCGAAAGCGGCUCUCUGGUCUGUAACUGACGCUGAGGCUCGAAAGCGUGGGGAGCGAACAGG